GGGUGAGUGUACCUUUCGAAUAAGCACCGGCUAACUACGUGCCAGCAGCCGCGGUAAUACGUAGGGUGCAAGCGUUAUCCGGAAUUAUUGGGCGUAAAGGGCUCGUAGGCGGYUCGUCGCGUCCGGUGUGAAAGUCCAUCGCUUAACGGUGGAUCCGCGCCGGGUACGG
rnacentral:rRNA from 1 species